rnacentral:lncRNA from 1 species
GGGCGGGGCCCAGCUCCUCCCCUGCAGCCGAGCAACGCAGCAGGCUCCGCGGUCCUGCGCUCGCGCCCGCCCCACCAGGAGCGGUCUGGGAUUGGGGGAGCACAUUCCUCAAAUAGAAGAACACCUAUUUAGGGCCAGCCACAGUGCUUGGGGACACAUGGAAAUAGGAAAAAGCUUCCACUUAGAGGAUCUCCCAGUCAUUCCGGUGGAUGAGCAGAUAUGAAAACAGUCUUUUGGCCAGCAGGCUGGAACGGCUGAGUCAACCAAACCACAGAGAUGGCAGCUGCCCCUCCCCAUGGGAGCUCCAUCCCAAAGAGGGAUGAGAGUUCUAUUUUAGAACCCUGGCUGGAGUGUCUGAAGCCCCUGGAGGGAGAUCCCGCCCAAUGAGGAGGAAUGGAUCAGAGUCCUGAUUAAAGAAGCAGUCAGACCACAAUCUAGCAAGGCCGCUGUGCUGCGUUGUGGAGGACCCUUCCUCGUUCGGACUAUUUGUAUUCUUCAAAGCCAUUAGGCUGGAACAGCUGAGUCUGCUACUGAACUGCAGAGAUGGCGGCCGCCCCUCCCUCUCUGGAACCCAGACCCAUCUCAGGCAGAUUCCAGCCUGUUGCCAUUGGCUGGCUGGAAUUCCAAGCCAGUGGGUCUUAACUUGUGGGGUACGAUGGAAGUGGGACCCACAGAAUGAUGCUGAUUGGCUUCCUGCAUUCAGCCCCCUUCCCAAGGAGAUGUAGGGAGGGAUUUCCCACCUUGCCAGGGAUCCCGGGGCUGGAGUAUGUAAAACUCCCUAGUCUCUGUGUGUGCCUCAGCUGCUGCUCUGCCAAGAUUCCACACAGCUCUCUGCUUUGGACCCAAGGCCCAGGUGGCAUGGGCUCAGGAGGGGAACUCCUGAUCCAUGGGGUUGCAAAGAUCUGUGAGAGAAGCGUGGUUUCCCAGGCAGGGUCGCACAAUCACUCACUACUUCCCUUGGCUGGGGAUGGGGGUUCCCUUGGCUCCCUGUAGCUCCCAGAUGGGGUGUCGUCCCCUGCCCCCUGCUUUUCUUCAUUCUCCGUGGGUAGAGUUAUUUGCCUAGUUAGUCCCAAUGCAAGAACCUGGAUAUUUAAGUUGAAGGUGCUGAAUUCACUCGCGCCUUUACAUUCCCUUCAGUGAGUGCUGUGGACUGCAGCUCCUUCUAAUCGGCCAUCUUGCAACAGCUUUCAAAUCUUUCAGUCUUAUAUCCACAUGUCAUUUUCUUUUCCUUUUUUUUUUGUACAGAAGACUAGAUAAUAUGCAUGACAUGGUUAAAAUUUUCAAUUGUGUCAAAAAUAUAUGCAGUGAAAAGACAGUUUUCAUCCUCCACUGCCUCCUGCCCCCAGCUUUCUUUCCUCUUAGACUACCACUGUUGACCAGUUUCUUGCAUAUCCUUUCAAAGACAUUCCAUGGGUUAAGAAAAAUUAUAAAUGUAUAUAUGUAUGUAUUGACUAUAUUGUAAGGUACGGACUUAAAACAUUCCAUAUAUGUUACCAAAUUAAUAUCCAUAUAUAGUUCAUGUCAGUUGUGGCUCCCAUAACAAUUUGUCAGGACCACUGUUUCAACACGUCUCUAUACAGUACAUUAUCAAAUUUAAUUUUUAAUUUUCUAUUCAGUUGUUGGUCUUUUUAAAAAUUGUAGUGCAUAGAUAUGUAUACA